UACGGAGGGUGCGAGCGUUGUCUGGAUUUAUUGGGCUUAAAGGGUGCGUAGGUGGCUGUUUAAGUCAGUGGUGAAAUACAGCCGCUCAACGGUUGAGGUGCCAUUGAUACUGAAUAGCUUGAAAUAAUUGGAGGCUGCCGGAAUGGAUGGUGUAGCGGUGAAAUGCAUAGAUAUCAUCCAGAACACCGAUUGCGAAGGCAGGUGGCUACGAUGGAUUUGACACUGAGGCACGAAAGCAUGGGGAGCAAACAGG
rnacentral:rRNA from 1 species